rnacentral:piRNA from 1 species
GUCUGUCUUAGUCUGGGUUCUGAGA